CCCUUAGAUGUUCUGGGCCGCACGCGCGCUACACUGAUGCAUUCAACGAGCCUAUCCUUGACCGACAGGUCCGGGUAAUCUUUGAAUCUGCAUCGUGACGGGGAUAGAUUAUUGCAAUUAUUAAUCUUCAACGAGGAAUGCCUAGUAGGCGCAAGUCAUCAGCUUGCGUCGAUUACGUCCCUGCCCUUUGUACACACCGCCCGUCGCUACUACCGAUUGAAUGGUUUAGUGAGGACUCCUGAUUGGCGCCGCCGCCCCGGCAACGGAGCAGCGGACUGCCGAAAAGUUGUUCAAACUUGAUCAUUUAGAGGAAGUAAAAGUCGUAACA
rnacentral:rRNA from 1 species